rnacentral:rRNA from 1 species
UACGUAGGGAGCAAGCGUUGUUCGGAUUUACCGGGCGUAAAGGGCGCGUAGGCGGCAGAUCAAGUCAGUUGUGAAAUCUCUGAGCUUAACUCAGAACUGUCAACUGAUACUGCUCUGCUAGAGUGCGGAAGGGGCAAUCGGAAUUCUUGGUGUAGCGGUGAAAUGCGUAGAUAUCAAGAGGAACACCUGAGGUGAAGACGGGUUGCUGGGCCGACACGUGACGUGAGUGCGCGAAAGCCAGGGGAGCAAACGGGAUUAAGAA